rnacentral:siRNA from 1 species
UGGUGGGCUGUAGUAUUUUCAC